AACGUAGGGGGCCAGCGUUGCUCGGAAUUACUGGGCGUAAAGGGUCUGUAGGCGGUGCGGCAAGUCGGAAGUGAAAUCGCAGGGCUUAACUCUGCGGCUGCUUCCGAAACUGCCGUGCUCGAGUGUGAGAUAGGCGAGUGGAAUUGCAGGUGUAGCGGUGAAAUGCGUAGAUAUCUGCAGGAACACCCGUGGCGAAGGCGGCUCGCUGGACCGCAACUGACGCUGAGGAACGAAAGCUAGGGGAGCAAACAGG
rnacentral:rRNA from 1 species